rnacentral:lncRNA from 1 species
GAAAGUAUGUGACAGAAAUGUUCAUAGUUGAAGCUACAGAAAUGUUCUAAGAAAUCUUCUAUCCAACUAAUCCGGCAAAUAAGCAUGAACAGUUAUGAGUAACAGCAUGAACAUCACAGCAUGAUCUAACUUUAGGUGAAAACGCGGUGCCUACUACUUCCGCAGACUGCAUACAAGGAGCAUGACAGACUGAACGGAGAUCACACCAAUCACCCGAUCCACCGGCAGCGGCAACAGCCAGCAGGCCAAAUGAAAAAUUCACAGCACGGAGCACUACUACCCAAACCACUAACUAAAAUCAAGACAAUGAAUCUGAAUCGAACACUCGGCCAGAUCUGAAGACAGCAAGCACCUUCAGAGAAACCGAGAAAAGCACAACAGCCACAGCAUGAAAACCAUGCUCCUCGCAAAGAUCAGGCACCAAAGCU